rnacentral:rRNA from 1 species
GACAGAGGCCACGAACGUUGUUCGGAAUCACUGGGCAUAAAGCGCACGUAGGCGGCUGGGUCCGUCCGAUGUGAAAGCCCCCGGCUCAACCGGGGAAUUGCAUCGGAUACAGCCCGGCUUGAGGACGGUUGGGGUGAGUGGAACUCCUGGUGGAGCGGUGAAAUGCGUAGAUAUCAGGAGGAACACCGGUGGCGAAAGCGGCUCACUGGACCGUAACUGACGAUGAGGUGAGAAAGCUAGGGGAGAAAACGGG